UGGGGAAUAUUGCACAAUGGGCGCAAGCCUGAUGCAGCGACGCCGCGUGAGGGAUGACGGCCUUCGGGUUGUAAACCUCUGUUAGCAGGGAAGAAGAGAGAUUGACGGUACCUGCAGAGAAAGCGCCGGCUAACUACGUGCCAGCAGCCGCGGUAAUACGUAGGGCGCGAGCGUUGUCCGGAAUUAUUGGGCGUAAAGAGCUUGUAGGCGGUUUGUCGCGUCUGCUGUGAAAGGCCGGAGCUUAACUCCGUGUAUUGCAGUGGGUACGGGCAGACUAGAGUGCAGUAGGGGAGACUGGAAUUCCUGGUGUAGCGGUGGAAUGCGCAGAUAUCAGGAGGAACACCGAUGGCGAAGGCAGGUUUUCUGGGCUGUAACUGACGCUGAGAAGCGAAAGCAUGGGGAGCGAACAGGAUUAGAUACCCUGGUAGUCCAUGCCGUAAACGUUGGGCACUAGGUGUGGGGGACAUUCCACGUUUUCCGCGCCGUAGCUAACGCAUUAAGUGCCCCGCCUGGGGAGUACGGCCGCAAGGCUA
rnacentral:rRNA from 1 species